UACAGAGGUCUCAAGCGUUGUUCGGAUUCAUUGGGCGUAAAGGGUGUGUAGGUGGCGCGCUAAGUCGGGUGUGAAAUUUCGGAGCUUAACUCCGAAACUGCAUUCGAUACUGGCGUGCUUGAGGACUGGAGAGGAGACUGGAAUUUACGGUGUAGCAGUGAAAUGCGCAGAUAUCAGGAGGAACACCGGUGGCGAAGGCGGGUCUCUGGGCCGUAACUGACGCUGAGGAGCGAAAGCGUGGGGAGCGAACAGG
rnacentral:rRNA from 1 species